UGCCAAUUAGCUGAGUUGCUAAUGCAUGAUACUCUUAAUCUCAAGGUUGUGGGUUCGAACUCCACAUUGGGCAA